GUCCGACCGGCGAUAUGAGCGUUCAGAGCGACUACGUCCAUAUUCUAGUCGUUUUGAAGAUUUUGUGGACAACGAAUUAAAUGGAGACGUUAGUGAUCUAGAGAUCAGUGAUGAUGAAGAUGCUGAUCCAGAUUUUGAACCGGAAGAACCUAUCCAGCAAGCGCAGGAGGAGACAUCUGAAGACGACAGUGAUUCGGAAGGUGGUGUAACUCAGGUGGUGGCAAAUCCUGCAAUCGAACCUUCCACACGCAUGGUUCAACCAAGAGGUUCCAGACGAUCCAGUGUGACUUCAGUAAACCAGCUUGGCACUCACACUCAAGUAACUACUCCGGAGCAAAAUGAUGAAACCUUACCAAGUCAAACAAGAACUUUUUGGAAAAAAACAGGUUAGUUUUGAUCCACUACCUCCUGCUCCUGCUUACGAAGAAAUAAAUCAAAACGCACUCAAUAUACCUCCUCAAGAUUACGUCAGCAAGUACAUUCCUGACGAUAUUUUCAAUGUGGUUACUAACCAAACAAAUCGCACUUACAUCGAAAACAAAGGUCGUCCAUUAAUUUCCGGUCCUGAACAAACCAAAAAGUUUUUUGGUGCAGCGAUCAAAAUGUCGAUUAUGGGUCUCCCACGAACUAGGAUGUACUAUGAUGUUAAGACCAAGGUACCCUCGAUAGCAUCAAUUUUACCACGGGACCUUUUUUUUGCCAUCAGAAACAAUUUGAAGGUUGUUUACGACAAUGAAGUGCCUCAGGAUGAAAAAAAAGCUACAAAGUUUUGGAAAGUUAAUCCUAUAGUAAAAUCUGUCCGAACUGGGUGUCUUUUAAAUAAUUGAAGUCAAAACGUAGCAGUAGAUGAACAAAUGGUACCUUUUUGGGGUCGAUGUCCUGCAAGACAAGUGAUAAAAUCCAAGCCAAAUCCUUGUGGGAUUAAAAUUUUUGUUGCAGCUGCUCCAGAUGGAUUACCUCUAGAUUUCUUUUUUUACAAUGGCAAGGGUGACCCGAUUGUAGAAGAUCCAUCCUGUUCCAGACUUAACAUUGGUGGUAAGGCAGUCAUGAAGCUGCUGAGAACUUUCCCGCAGGGGGUUUCAGUUUACAUGGAUAGGUACUUUACAUCCGAGGAACUACUAGACUUGCUCCACUCAGAACGAGAGGCAACAGGAACCGGUACACUCCAAAAACAGAG